ACACAUGCAAGUCGAGCGGAUGAAGGAGCUUGCUCCUGGAUUCAGCGGCGGACGGGUGAGUAAUGCCUAGGAAUCUGCCUGGUAGUGGGGGACAACGUUUCGAAAGGAACGCUAAUACCGCAUACGUCCUACGGGAGAAAGCAGGGGACCUUCGGGCCUUGCGCUAUCAGAUGAGCCUAGGUCGGAUUAGCUAGUUGGUGAGGUAAUGGCUCACCAAGGCGACGAUCCGUAACUGGUCUGAGAGGAUGAUCAGUCACACUGGAACUGAGACACGGUCCAGACUCCUACGGGAGGCAGCAGUGGGGAAUAUUGGACAAUGGGCGAAAGCCUGAUCCAGCCAUGCCGCGUGUGUGAAGAAGGUCUUCGGAUUGUAAAGCACUUUAAGUUGGGAGGAAGGGUUGUAGAUUAAUACUCUGCAAUUUUGACGUUACCGACAGAAUAAGCACCGGCUAACUCUGUGCCAGCAGCCGCGGUAAUACAGAGGGUGCAAGCGUUAAUCGGAAUUACUGGGCGUAAAGCGCGCGUAGGUGGUUUGUUAAGUUGGAUGUGAAAUCCCCGGGCUCAACCUGGGGACUGCAUCCAAAACUGGCAAGCUAGAGUAUGGUAGAGGGUGGUGGAAUUUCCUGUGUAGCGGUGAAAUGCGUAGAUAUAGGAAAGGAACACCAGUGGCGAACGCGACCACCUGGACUGAUACUGACACUGAGGUGCGAAAGCGUGGGG
rnacentral:rRNA from 1 species